rnacentral:rRNA from 1 species
UGAACGUGGCGGUANGCCUAACACAUGCAAGUCGAACGGCAGCACAGAGGAGCUUGCUCCUUGGGUGGCGAGUGGCGGACGGGUGAGGAAUACAUCGGAAUCUACUCUGUCGUGGGGGAUAACGUAGGGAAACUUACGCUAAUACCGCAUACGACCUACGGGUGAAAGCAGGGGAUCUUCGGACCUUGCGCGAUUGAAUGAGCCGAUGUCGGAUUAGCUAGUUGGCGGGGUAAAGGCCCACCAAGGCGACGAUCCGUAGCUGGUCUAGAGAGGAUGAUCAGCCACACUGGAACUGAGACACUGGUCCAGACUCCUACGGGAGGCAGCAGUGGGGAAUAUUGGACAAUGGGCGCAAGCCUGAUCCAGCCAUACCGCGUGGGUGAAGAAGGCCUUCGGGUUGUAAAGCCCUUUUGUUGGGAAAGAAAUCCAGCUGGCUAAUACCCGGUUGGGAUGACGGUACCCAAAGAAUAAGCACCGGCUAACUUCGUGCCAGCAGCCGCGGUAAUACGAAGGGUGCAAGCGUUACUCGGAAUUACUGGGCGUAAAGCGUGC